rnacentral:tRNA from 1 species
GGGGGAUUAGCGAAGCGGCCAAACGCAUCAGACUGUAAAUCUGCUCACGUAAGUGUUCGGUGGUUCGAAUCCAUCAUCCCCCACCA